AGCAGGUACUGUCAGCAGGCCUCAGGCAGAAGCAGACAAGAAGGGUAAGAAGUAAAGGAGAGGGAGGAAAGGAGUUGAAAGAAUAAGAGAAUGAGGUGAAAGCUGAAGUCCCCACAGAGGGAAAUGCCACAAGACUAGGCCGUGCAACAUUUCCGCAGUGCUCCUCGCUACAAAGACAUUCCCCUAAGGCUGGUGGGCAACUCAACACUCAGCUCAGUACGUGGUCAGCUCGUCCUCCAUAGGAGCCUUAUGCCUUGGUGAGGAGAUCUCUGAAGAAAUUGCUGAUGAAAGUCCAACAGGCUCUUCCAGUUUGUCUGGUCGGUCACAUUUGCUGAAACCUGGAGGAAUUGUUAGUGGAAGCUCAACAGGCCUGACUCAGUCUGACUGUCCAUUCUUCUGGAAGCUGCAGAGAAAAGAAACCUGGAAACCUUAUAUGCUGACAAAAAGGGACACAAUUGGAUAUGAUGGUUAUUUUACCAAGGUUUUGAAAUGUCGUGCUUUCAAAUAUAAACAGACUGCUUUAAGGAAUCGAAGUUGACUUAUAGAGCCAAUAAAAGCCCUGCAGGAAAGCUGGCCUCAUACUUUGUCUACACAGUCUCUGUACAGGUUUCCUGACCUGUGAGACAACAUCACUAUUGCAAAACCUAAGAUCAGUGCUGGAGAUAUUUUGCAGACCCUGCACUUGAUAGAUCAGCUGGCACCACCCAGAUGGAUAAACUGGCUCAUCUGAUCUCGUGGCCUCCACCGGGAACUGAUUCAGCAAAAGAGGACAGCUUCAACUUCCUAUGAGUUUAAUCUCCAACCCAACCAAUCAGCACUCCUUACUCACUGUCCCUUACCCACCAAAUGAUCCUUAAAAACUCCAAAUUCUCGGCCGGGCGUGGUGGCUCACGCCUGUCAUCCCAGCACUUUGAAAGGCCAAGGCAGGCAGAUCACGAGGUCAGGAGAUCAAGACCAUCCUGGCUAACAUGUUAAAACCCCAUCCAUACUAAAAAUACAAAAAAUUAGCCAGGCAUGAUGGCACAUGCCUGUAAUCCCAGUUACUUGGGAGGCUGAGGCAGGAGAAUCACUUGAACCCAGGAGGCAGAGGUUGCAGUGAGCCGAGAUCAUGCCACUGCACUCCAGCCUGGGCAACAGAGCAAGACUCUGUCUCAAAAAACAAAACAACAACAACAACAACAAAAAACCCCUCCAAAUUCUCAGGGAGACUGAUUUGAGUAAUAAUAAAACUCCCAUCUCCCAUAUAGCCCGUUCUGCGUGAGUUCCACUCUUUCUUUAUUGCAAUUCCCCUGUCUGGAUAAAUCAGCUCUGUCUAGGCAGUGGGCAAGGUGAAUCUUUUUCCAGCUCUGUCAGCUAAUAACAAUAUUAACUGAUUUGAAUUUUUCCUCUUCUGCUUCCUCUAGAAGAGGUGAUAUUUAUUUUGCUUUGAUGGGAAAGAGUGAGGUAUUUUCAAAGAAC
rnacentral:lncRNA from 1 species